rnacentral:lncRNA from 1 species
CUUUCAAGCCUCCCUUCUUGUUCCCCCUUAACAGACAAUCCAGACUGGAGGUUUUUGCUGUGCACCAUCCACCUUUACUUCGGACUCUGAUGAUAAUUGAUUAACAGGUAACGUUAUUUCUGUUCUCACCUUCUCCUUCAAUGGGGGGAUAAAAGGGACAAUAGACUAAGGCUGAACCCAAAGAAGGGGUCCUCUGACUGGGUGUCCCUGAUGUCUGUGGUUUGGGUGGUUCCCAACGCAUGCUGGCGUUGGUCCCAAUGCUGUCAGUGAACAACCAGAUAGUGCCCGUGCUCUGAAUCACCUCCCUCUUAGAUGACUUGUGCAGCUGGGUCCCUGCCUGGAUGCCCGCUCACUCCCCUGAUUGGUCCACACACAGAGAGUCUCAAGAAUAAUCUACAGUAAUUCUCUUUAUGUGGGACUUCCCUUGAGGCUGACAUGUGCUAUCCUCCAGUCCUCUGGCACUGUGACCAUUUUGUUAUGGGCCAAGCUUGCUAUCCAAUAUUUUAGCUCCAGCAAGAGGUCAGACAAGACACCAUCAACUGAACCAAAGUACAAUUUUUUUAGGAUGCAUUGCAAAGUCAUCCGGGACUUCUCUUAAAGGCAGAUAAGACCCCACUCUGAUGGUGUGGACAGUGCAGAAACAUGUGGGCAAGAGUUUCCAAUGCACCCUGCUUGCAUGAAGAAUGUCUUUCGAGGGAUUGCUGGUUUUUGGAUUUUCAAGAUCUGCUCUCUUCAGGCCCUGGACUGCACUGGGUCGGAGAUGAUGAAAUCCUUUGAUCCUUAAUGUCUGAGCUUCUCAGAGGCUAGGAAACCCAAGCCUUGGGAAGAUUUGGUUUUUCUGACUGAUGCAGAACAAAGGGAUAUAAAUAUUGGGAGACAUCUCACACAAAAUGUUAUUAGAAGGUAACAGAGAACUAUAAAUGUUUGGUUUCAUGAAGUAGAACAGACAAUGGAACUGAUGCCGGGUGAAAGUCCUUAGCAGAGUGGUAAAAUAACCGUGAACAAGUGACAGCCAGCAAUGGAUUUUACACAUGGCUGGGUGAGAAAAAAAUUCUGUUUGUUACCAAUACACUUAGAACCAAAUACAGUGGUGCCUCGCAUACCGAGCGCACCCUUUAACGAUGAAUCCGCUUAGCGAAGCGGAUUUUUCGAUC